rnacentral:lncRNA from 1 species
GUAUUUAGUGGAUGCCGGAGUUCGUUGUUUGCGAUGACGAUCAGCUCGUCUCGAGCUAGGCAGUUGAUUAGCAGAUGUUGCGUAGCCUAUUUGGCUAGUGUUGUGCUGAGGGGCAAGGAUGAUACCCCUAGGAUCGAGGAUAUCUCGGUGGUGCGAGAGUUCCAGGAUGUGUUUCCAGCUGAACUGCCGGGUAUGCCUCCUGAUAGGGAGAUUGAGUUUGUGGUAGAUCUCGUCCCGGCUCUGUGGAAAUAGUGGGGUGAGAACUACAACAAAGUUCCCAGUGGGUUCGGCCCCAAUAUCACCGACUUUUUCCACUAGGACUAACUCAGGCAUAAUAGAAAGGAUAAGUAGGAUAUAGUAACCAAUCUAUAACAUGAUGCUAAUACGCCUGAACAAAUAAAGCAGAAAUAUGCUCAACAUUAAAUAAAUGCAGAUUAUGCAAAUUCUUUGUUCUUUUCACGUUACUCUUUGUUCUUUGUUCUUUGUUCUUUGUUCUUUAUUCUUUAUUCAUUAAUCUCAAGGCUAACCCGGGGGUUUCGCCACAUUAAACUUGCUUCACAUUAAGUCCAUCAUCGCAGGAACUCACCCGCUAGGACCGUCCUUACGGGUCUACUCCAACCCGUGAUGCAUAACUCCGGAGCGCAUCGCCCGAGGGGGAGCGACCGCCCUCGAGCACGGAACUCAUAGCAAGUAUGAUCGAAAUCCUUAACUCAAAGGAUUGUAUGUUCAAUCUCGACUUUACACUAACUCUAGUGUUCAUUACAUCACUUUAUGUUGCCACUCUAGUAAUCAUUGCUCUUUGCAUUUCUUUUACUUUUGCUAACUCUAGCAAUCACAUUCUUUAGCUUUACACGUUCUUUAUUCUUUAUACGUUCUUUAUUGCUCUCUUUGCUUUAGCUUUAGUGAUCGUCAUCAUUCUUUAUAUCACUUCGAUUCUUUGCUUCACACUAACUCUAGUGUCACUUUACUUUACAUUAUUUAGAUGCCACUCGAUCUAUGUCACAGUGUCACUCUGUUCUUUUGCUCACUUUGGGUGCUCACAUUUUCUCUCAUGCAUACAUCUAGGGUUUUGACAUUAUUAGGUUCUCAACCAUCUCAUUAUGCAAGUUGUGCUCACAAUCAUGCAAUCAUCACAUUUCAUCAUUACUUUACCCUAAAAUGCAUGCAACGAUAUAUAGAACAUAUGCUCAAAGAAUAACACAUUAGGCAUAGAGAGAAUUUCAAUGAGUUUGGAAAGCACCAC